rnacentral:rRNA from 1 species
GAUCCUGGCUCAGGACGAACGCUGGCGGCGCGCCUAACACAUGCAAGUCGAACGAGAGAGAGGAAGCUUGCUUCCUCAAUCGAGUGGCGAACGGGUGAGUAACGCGUGAGGAACCUGCCUCAAAGAGGGGGACAACAGUUGGAAACGACUGCUAAUACCGCAUAAGCCCACGACCCGGCAUCGGGUUGAGGGAAAAGGAGCAAUCCGCUUUGAGAUGGCCUCGCGUCCGAUUAGCUAGUUGGUGAGG